GUGUUGGGGAUAGCGAUCUCCCCAUGAGGCGACAUGCCCAAGCAUCGCGUCCGUUUCCGUGCAAGGACGCAGCAUG
rfam:Bradyrhizobium sp. NAS80.1 Bradyrhizobium_NAS_80.1_c206, whole genome shotgun sequence.